AUUGAAAAACCUGUUCUCGUACCAAAUCCGAAGUUAAGCAACGUCGAGCCUGGUUAGUACCGAGAUAAGUGACCAUUUGGAAAUACCAGGUGUUGUAAG